rnacentral:pre_miRNA from 1 species
UUGUCCCCUUGGGUUCUCGUCAAACGCAUCCUUCCCCAAGUGGAUUUGGCCCAAAUUUCCUAAGGGAAAUUUGGGCCAAAUCCACUUGGGGAAGGAUGCGUUUGACGAGAACCCAAGGGGACAA